GAAUAUGAGAAAACAUUAUCAACAACAACACACUACUGCUGCUCCAUUUCAAUGCAAAGUCUGUCCAUGUCAUUUCGAUGAUAGAAUAAAAUCUGAAGAUCAUGUAGUGAUUAAGCAUAUGUUUUUACAUCCGUAUGUGUGUGAAGAAUGUGAGGCUCAAUUCUUUACACCGAGAACAAAAGUAACAAGAAACUGGAAUGGGGAGUAUUUUCAGGCGAAAAAAUUCAAGGUGGUGCUCUGAAGACGCAGAUAUAUAUGUUAAUUUGGUUCCAUAAAGUAACUAGAAAACUGAUGGGAAUCUCUUUCGAAUACACAUCUUUGAACGACGUCAAACUUGCGGCAGCUAAGUUGCGGACCACUAACACCCGUGCUGUUAAAGAACAUG